UGGGCUGGACCUACAGCGUUUUUCUAGCGGCCGUCGUUUAGGGCGCUCUUCAUUUUGUUCACCGGACCUAAUUCUUGAUUAUAUUUUUGACGGGGCCCAAGAUAAAGGACCCAUGGUUGCAGAAGUGCUUAUGGGCCAUGCACAGGAGGAAGACUAGGGCUGCCUGCCAUCACCUCUUUGAGUCCUUUCUGGAAGCUUCCUUUGGCACCUCUAUAAGGCCUGAGCCAGCCAAUCACCCUCCAGAUCCUCACUUAAAGGAGUCUGAGCUGAAGAAACAAGGAGUGUGGAAGAAAAGGAUAUCUAAGGAGGAAGGCAGUCAAGAAGUGUCCGAAAGGCAAGACUACCAGAAAAGGGGCCCCCAUACCAGUGAAAGGGGCCCCAUAGCACCUAGGUUCCUGAUGACAAAUGAAGUUGUCACAUAAUUGGGAGCAGCCCUGGGCCUCUAAAAGGAAACCUCUCUUCCAGGAAGAUAGCUUAGGUAAGAAACCACAGACAUCUAUGAGCUCAUUCACCAAAGGCCAUCUCAUCACUAGCUCAUACUGCCCUGCUGGGGGUUCCUGCCUCUUUGCAGGGGCGACCCAGCUGUCUGGCCCAGCUAUAUUCUGCUUCCUAUAGCCAGAGACGUUAAGGAAAGAGCUUGAUGAAGACCAUUGACUCAGCUCUUCAGCCUUAUUAAAGUCAAAGAAGAAGACUCAGAGAGGAAGGCUUUCAGAUACUUUGUCAAGGAGAAAUUCUCCACCCACAUCUGGCAGUUGUGGGCUCUGUAAACAGAAAGUUUCAGUGUCGCUAUUGCUGCCACUUGCUGAUGGUACCGCCACUGUGGUGAGGUCAGGAGGAGCUGCUUCAACCUCCUACCUUCCUUGUACGGUCAUUGCUAAGGACCUGGGCUUGGGGAAGAACACAGACCCAAUGGAACCACAAGGCUGGAGGAUAAAACUGAGGCCACGUCAAACAGCAGUACCACUCAGCCUGCCCAUUCUUUCUCCGUGUUUUUUGUGGGGACUGCAGUUACAUGGCGACCGGCCACCUUCCCCUGGCAGAUUCCAGAGACCAUCAGAUUAGCAGUCACUGAUCUGACUGACCUGUCUGCCCCUGUACCCAUCCCCUAUACCAGAUAUCGGUCAUGACGUGAGAUGCACAGUUUCUAACUCUCCUUCUUUUGCUUUUCCUGCUGUUUCUUACUUUGGAUUCCAACCCAUAUUUGGGGUUCCACUUAUUAAUGAGAAUGAAUAGAGGCCCUCUGCAUUCCAUUCCCUGUCAUAAUUGCAGGAUCUUGUACUUCUCUCACCACACCUCCUAGCCCCUCAUUCCGCCCCUUAAAGCCUACCUUCUAUAGAACCAAAUCACCUAUACCUGUGUGUGUGGGUUCUUCUCUCUUUUUUUAGACUCCUCUUCAAGUCCCUUUCACCAAUGUCCCUGACUUCACCAGCCAGCCCCUCACUGCUUCUGCAGGCACUGCCUCCACCUCAAUUAGCCCGUGUGCAGACUAGAGCUUCUAGGGUGCUUUGGACUUUGGUCUAGCUGACGUGGACACCACUCUGCCUCCCCAGGCUUUCAUCUUCAGGUCUCCCCCAGGAUCCAAUGUGAGCUCCCUCACGUUUUACCAGGUCUGCCCCAAUGUGGAGCAGAUAUCCCUGCAAAGGCCAUGGUCACCACUAGCCUACCUGCUUUAAUGGUCAGCAGCCCUACCUGAACUUUCAACUUCCCCUUUGGGGCAGAACCAUUCUUUAGCUGACAUUUGGGAGCCUACAUGGAUGGCAAAAGGAAGCCGCUCUCCCCUUUGUCCCUGUCUUUUCUGGCUCAUCUACCACUGAUUCUGCAUUUGCCUCACUCCAAUAACCAGCACCUCUUCAGACGUGGCAUCCAAGCCUGUCUUUGACUCUGAUGAAAUCAAUAUGGAUACCACACCCAAUCCCCAGUCUUUUGUCUCCUUGCCUCCUCUUGACUGCUGUAAUAGCCCUUACCUUUUGGAAAACUUGGCAGCCCCAGUAAAACCUCCAUACUUUCCAUACAUAACCUCUACUGCAAACUUGGACCCAGAAGCAGCACAACUCAGUCAGCUUUUAGGAGUCUUGACAUCCCCAUCUUCCAACUUUGGCACCCCUGUCAGCACCCAGCCAGCCAACCAUUGGCCCAGCCACUCUCUCUUGUUCUGGAGUUACCACCAACAUGCACAGCGCUGAGAACUGCCUCUCACCUUUUGCCAAUACCACUCCAGACCCAUUUGCAUUUAUGGGAUCUUCAGCACCCAUGGGUAGUGGCAGCUUUGAGGUCACUGUGCAUGUCUCAAGUCCCAGCUCCAUGUUGCAACACUCAGCUUUGGAGCAAGGCCACAUGGGAUGCUCAGCACACAGCUCAUACUGGGGAAGGCUUAGACCUGAGUACCAGGGUCCUGACAGCCUAUCGCACCCCUGUUACAACUGGAGAGGCCAGCACUACUGAGAGCAAAUCUGUCCUGGGAAACACUUUCCUUCCUACCUAUAAUAAGAGCACCGAGAAUCAGCCCAACCAAACACCUACUACUACUGGAGGAGACAGCAUCACUGAGAAAGGACAUGUGCCAGCAGACACUUCUGUUCCUCCUUCUGUUCAGAUUGCCUGGGACCAUUCAGCCAGGGUACAUCUGUUGCCAUUAAGGAAAGAGAACCACAUCUGUGCUGGAGAUACCCCUUUUUGUGCCUACAGUCUAUAGCUCGGAGGGGCAAGCACCUCACCUGUGGUUUGCGGCCAUUAUGUUCCUACCUACAGUCAGAGCUCCUGGAUCCCACCUGAACAGAGCACAUUUUUGCAAUGGGAAGGGCCAAUACCAUAACCGUGUUUGGAGUCUUCUCUUUCUGCGUCUGAUCUGAACACUUGGGGGCCACCUAAUCAGAGAAAACCGUUAUUACUGGAGAAGCCUGCACCAGUGAGAAGAAAUGCAUGCCAGGAGAUACUUCUGUUCCUGCCAUCCAUCAGACACCUGGCCAGAGCACAUCAUUUGCUGUCUGAGAGCUAGCCAUAACUGUGAUUAGAAAUGCUACUGUCAGAGCACCUGGGCACACACUCCAGAGCACAGCCGCUACAACGGGAGAAGGCAGCGCCAUUCUUGUGCUUCUGGAUAUUUAAGUCCCACCAUCAUUCAGAAUGGCUGGGGCUCAUGGUCAGACCACAUUGUUGCAGUCUCAUGGGACAACACCAUACACUUUUAGGAAGACACUUCUAUUUUCACCAUCACUGAGAACACCUAGGGCCUAUCCAGACAGAAUACCUCCUUUGAAGUGGAGUAAUGAACACCACUAAAGAGAUAUCUACAUUUCAGCACUUUUGCUGCUAUUUUUUCAGAGCAAAUGUAGCUCUGACAUGGGCACAGCAAGCAGCAAUCUCACCUUGGGGCAGCUUUGUCACCUGCCCAGCUUUCUUUGGAGACAGAAGUGUUGGGUUGCCAACCCAUUCAUUUUCUUCUACUGGAAGAAACAAUGUCUCAGCAACUAUAAGCAAAAGCCAUCCACAAAUGGUGGGUGACCACUAAUUGCCAAGAAUGAGCCUUGCUCUUCUGGAAAGAGGCUCAGCCCCUUCUAGUUAUGUCAAACAAAUUUAACCUGCCCUAUGUCCUCGUAGAGUAAGCUGGAGGCCCAACACCACAGGGUGUUUAUGUAUGUGUAAAAAGGUGUGGUUUCAGAUGAGGCUGGUCAGAAGUCAACACACCUGCCGUGAGAAGCUCCACUGUAGAAAAGAAGAUAGAGAUUAACUUAGGCAAAUCAUCCCCACACAUUCAUAACUCGAGCAGAGAGGACAGACGUGACAUCUAGAGGAACAAAGGAAGAAAAGGCUCACAACUGCUUUAUCUCCAUGACUGAAAAAAAAAAAAGCUUCUGCACAGCAUACCAGGACAUCUGAGAGCUCCAUCCAUCUGUGCACCCAAAAGUGGGGAGAUUGGACUGGAGCAGGCGGCAGAGCAAGGGAAGUGGCAGCAGAGCAGCAGCAGCAGAGGUGGUGACAGCAGAGAAGGCAGCAACCAGUCCAGCAGCAAGACUAAAAUCAAGUAAUAUAAUCCAUCAUACCAACAGGCUAAAAAAGAAAACACAUGAUCACAUGAUCACAUCAAUAGAUGCAGAAGAAGCAUUUGACCAACUCCAACACCCAUGCAUGAUAAGAACUCUCAGUAAACUAGGAAUCGAAAGGAACUUCCUCAACCAGGUAAAGAGUAACUACAAAAAACCUAAAGGUAGCAACAUAUUUAAUGGUGAGAAACUUGAAGUUUCCCUGCUAAGAUCAGGAAGAAGGCAAGGAUGUCCCCUCUCACCACUCCUUUUCAACAUCGUACUGAAGUACUAGUUAAUGCAGUAAGAUGACAAAAUAAAAUAGAAGGUAUACAGGUUGAGAAGGAAGAUAUAAAACUGUCUUUGUUCACAGAUGACAUGAUCAUCUGUGUAGAAAAUCCAAAAGAAUAAUCAUGUAAAACUCCUGGAACAAACAUGCAAUUAUAGCACAGUUGCAGGUGAAGACAUGUUUAAGAUCAUUUAAAAAUCAAAAUGGAGUAAUGAUGGUCCAGGCAUCCAAAAUGGAGCCAUGGUGGAUAUGGUUUCAGACACUCUCCUGCAUGGCUGAGAAGCUGAAUUUUCUCUGAGCUGUAUCAGACUCAAGGACACCGCUAGCCUCUUUCAAAACAAUAUCUGCCAACAGCUGCUAACUGCAAUCUUUAGUUUCAGAGUUCCUGCCUUCACAGCUAUGUAAUCAUUUCAGACCUCAACCAGUCCUGGUUUUACAAACACCCUUACUUAUCUCCAGCCCCAAUCCUAAUUCUUGACAAGUGAUUUAUGUAACCUUACUUUUUUUUUUUUUUUGCCUUUUAAACCUCCCCAUUUUUCAGUCCAAUGGAACACAACUCAAGUGCUUCCUGAAUCUGUGUCUCCUGGGCUGCAGUCCUAACAAACCCCAAUAAAAGCCUCUUUAUUUCAACCAGGUCUUUCUCCAUUUCUGAAAUCUUGGUUAAUGAUUGAUAGCUAGCUAGCUAGAAAGAUAGACAGAAAGAAAGAUAUGUAUUUUCUGUGUACUACUACAAACUACUUAAAAGACACC